rnacentral:lncRNA from 14 species
GGAGUAGCUUGUCAUGAUAAUGGAGGAGUGAAGAUGGGGCUGGAGAGUGAACGUAUGUGAGUUAGAGGAGGUCCAGACAAGCAGAAAAAAAGAAUGAAACAGAUUUAAAAUGGCUUCAGAAGUUACCUCUGAGAGUAUUUGAUCUUUGUUUUGGUAACACUGGGUCAUGUCAUUCAGGUUGGCUAAAAGCCCUUGCUCUUCAAAAGAGUUGUCAAAGAUUUAUUUUAUAAAAAUGUAAGUAAAAGACAAGCCAAACACUUUGUGUUUCAUGUUUUUUAGGUCUUUGUGUCAGCAGUAAUUUCUUGCUGUCUUAUUUAUUAUACACUAAGUAUUUCUAGAUAGAAAUUACUUCUGUCUUCUGAUUGAUACCUAUAUGAUACCCAACUAUUUCUCUCUGUAUGCGUUGUCUGUGUAAAUGUACAGGACCCAGUGGACCCUGGAGCCCAUUCCCAUCCUGCACAGCAAGAGCAGCCCAUUGCUGGCCCAGGUCAAGAUUUACCCAACAAAAACCCUGAUGGGAAACAGAGAAGUUCAGAAAGGUAAGGUAAGUAAGGAAAGCUGGAGACACAGUAUGCUUUCAGAGCCUUAGGAUCUUGUUUUAAGAUUAGGAUCCCAAAACUAUAUUCAUCUUACGUGAAGUAAGUAACAGAGAACACAGGAAACUGCCAAGACAAAUAAAUAUUUCUGCUCCUCAUUUUCAACUUGAUGUUGCACAUGGAGAAACACUGAAGGGAGCCAAUGAUGGAGGUGAAGAAGAUGGUCUUCCAACCUGGAAAGCCAACCCUCUUCUCACGUUUUCCUUUCUUCUGUCCCUCACUGCAAUAACCCAUCAACAAUAGUCUGGAUAUGUGGCUGGACACUUGGGCAAGAACUUGUCAUCAUAUAUGGAUGCCCUUCAGUUUCAGUGAAACUUUUCUAUGGACACACUCAAAGAAUUGAGGCAAGAAAUUACAGGAAACAGAAAUUCCUGCAGCCAUUUCCUUUCAGAUGGAAUAGUGAUCAUUUAGAUAACAUUUACGACUGUUUUAUUUCUGAUUGUAAUAUCAGUAGCAUUCUCAGAAAGCCGGACUGAGGUCAGAGCUGGGAUUCAGGGUGUGUACUGCAUAGGAAAUAGAAUCACCUAUUGCUAUAUAUCCUAACCUCACACACAAAUAAUCUGAACAUGUUUAUUGACAAAAUUGUACUAAGAGUUCAUAUCAAAUUCUAAGAGCAACCACUGGACUUUGAAUGGUUUGGAUCAGAGCUGGGAGCAGUAUUUCAUUCUCAGUUCUUACAGCGACAGUGGAUCACAUCAAAAGCCUGUUUCACAUUUUCUUUGAAUUAUGAGAGUUCAAAUUCCAGAUCAUAGCUCUGCUGUUCAGUGGAUAUAUAUUCAUUGGCAUUAGUGUUUCUGAAUGGAUUAACUCAGGCAUUGUGGAAUACAGAUCCUACGCCUUGCUUCAAGAUAAGCGUGAGCAGUGUUAGAGCAAACAUUUUGGAUACCUUCCAAGAGAGAAGGCUCGCUCAUGGAAACUAAAUGUUCUGUAGAGAAGCUGUGAAUUUGAUGAGUCUGUUGAAAGCAGUCCAGCAGGCGUGUGACCAAAACAUGGUGUUUUUCAGUCAGUUCACCUAUGUUCCUUUUCCUUCCCAGGCUCCACCAAACUCCAUGGGCUGACACAGCCCCACAGAAGAGCUGGGAAAAAUCAAAGGCAGCUUUGGGUUUCUGGGGAGCGUAUUUUGGACUACAGCUCUAGAAACCUUUAUAGUGACAAUACUUGACUGUCCCUCAGGCAGAGUACUCUAGGAGUUUUGGUUACACUUUCAACAAGAAACUCUAAAAAUAUCACUGUUCUCCCACGAGAGGAAAUUAAUUCUUAACAUGUAGUUUUGUGUCAUUGUGCCAAUCCACCGGAGUUCUGCCUCAGCAACCACUCAGGGAUGUGUCCAGAUUGCUGAUGUCUGUGAUGUCUUUGCUACCAGGAUCAGACUCAUUGGAGAAAGUGAGGCUGGCACGUGCUCCAGCUUCCCACAACACACUGGUGGGAGUGGAACUGUUCAGGUUCUUGGGCUGGGACUAACUCCUCUCCUGAUUUAUCCUAAACCCAAAGAAGGCUUCAAGUGCAGCAUCAUGGGCUUUUUUGUGCACCAGAGAGAAGAGCUCAGCAGAGGGUACCAUGUCCAGAGCCAGUAGAUGGAAAUAAGCAUUGGUAGUUGCAGAGACAUACUAAAUAUGACCUCAUUACCCAGAAAUGGAAGGCUUUCUAUGUAAAUCAUUUACUCAAGUAAAAUUAUGUCACAAGAACGAAUAUGCUUACUUUCACCAUCUCUAUUUAUUAAAAACAUUGCUAACAUGGUCCUUGAUAGCUUAAUUUAUGACGUUUAUGACAAAUUGCUGUCUUAAUUGAAAUAUGUCAGGUUUCUAAAUACUGAAGUUAAUUAUCUGUCCUUUUCUAGUUGAAGGCUGACCUUUAAUUAUACAAUAUUAAUCCACAUAUUGUAUGAAUUAUGUGGAAUAUCCAUUUUGUAUGUAGAGGGAGACAUGUAUGUAUUAUUGUAGUGGAGUACAGUUACAUAAUUAUUUUUAAUUUAGGAUAUCGGCUUAAUUAAAUACUUGCAGAAACCAAGCUUUUUCAGGAAAUUUGCAAUUACAAUCAAUUUGAAUGUACAGCUACAUUAAUAUGGUGACAAGCCCAAUAAUAAAAAUGAACUAAGUAAUUAUGGGCAGGUGCUGAACAGAUGUGCAAAUAGAAAUUCUCUGCAUGGAACAUUGUUAUAUAUCAUUUUGAAAAGUGAAAGAAACCUGUUAUCCAUAGCCAUUCCUAUAUGCAGCUAUAAUCAGUCACAAAAAAGUUAGUUCCUUCAAUUUAGAUGAAUCACUUAAAAAUGUGUACGGCACUUAGGCUUUCAUUUUCUGUUUCUGGAAAGAAAGUCUAGUUGAUUGAAGACUGCUGCUCUACUGUACUCAAAGAGUCUGCCGCACUAUUGAAAUAUAUUCUUCUUUCAACACGUUUAUGAUGAGUGGGUUUUCAGUUUGGAAUGGUUUAACAGUCAAAACAAUUCACAUUCCAUAUUACAAGUUGAGCUUUAUUUAAAGAAGGGGGGAGGUUAAGACUAGUUUAGAGUUGUUUGCUCAAGUUAUCAGGUUGCCAAAGGCCCAAUUUAACCUCCAAAUAGUUGGAAAACAAUUACAUUGCAUUACUACUGUGAAUUGCUUUAGAUAGAUUUACAGUGUAUUUUUUUCCCUGUGUGUUUUAGGGUUUUUUUUCCCAAGACAGAAUAUUAAAACAUACUUUUUCAAGUCUUCUAUUUUCGUGUGAAGUGUGAGAAGUAAUUAUAUCUGUGAUGUAAGCAAGCAAGCUAAACUGAAAUGGUUUCUAUAGCAAUCAUGUAGAAAACCCAAGGAAAGACUGGCAUCUAAGGGAAGGUGAAUGUGAGCUAUCCCCUUGUAUGGAAUGGGAUGGCCUAAGCUGUCCCUGGAAGAUCACAAUGCUUAAAGCAACCAUAUCUAAGCAAGGGGCAUGUCUAAACUAGACUCUUUAAGGAACUUAAAUGCUUUACUCCAAACUGCAGGAAUCUGCCUUCCUGUCCCUGGUUCAUGGCUCUGAAAUGGAUCCUAGUGGCCAAGCCAGACCCUUCUCAAGCAAUACUGGAAUAGCAGAAAUGUGCUUUUCCUCAUUUUAAGAAAUCGUCACUACAGCUGUUGGCACUGUGGGAAGCUGUGAGAGGCAGCUGGAGUUGUGCACCAUUCUCUUUCUUAUCCCACCAUGUGCAGGGCCAUCGUCUUAUCUGGAAAGAGAACAAUUGACAUGUCUGGAGAGAGAUUAAUAAUGGAGCAGUGCUGCUGCAAUAAAAACUGUCUGGACAGGUUCCACUCAUCUAUUUCAUUUGUAAAAGGGCAAACUUCAAAAGCAUAAAUUUGUAUUCCAAACGUGCUAUGAAAUAUUUUGGGUGGGGAGGGUGAAGUGAGGACCUCACAAUGUUGCCUCCUAGAGUCCUCUGCAGCUGAAAAGUCUUCAUGGAUGACAUAAACAGCAGUGACUUAUACACUGUGUGCUGGUAUAGUACUCUUCCAUACUAUCACAAGGCCAUUCUCAGCCUGUAGACGGUAUGGAAGCAGAGAGAUGAGAAUAUUUGGUAUCUUUCUCUCAAUUCCAAACUCCAAGAUAUGCCAAACAUUGUGUGUAAAAAGUGAAAAAUGAAGCACUAAUUAUUUCCUAGGAAGAGUGAACAAAUCCAAAGCAGAAGAGAGGACAAAGCAGUUUCACUUUUGAGAGGAAAUCCUCAGGAUGUUUACGGAUUCCAUGUGCCCUCCUUGCUACAGGAGCAUGGCUGAAAGGAUGGGCAGGCUCUUCAUCAUGCCUCAGCUACUGGACAGAGGUCUAUUUUAAUGCAAUACUUUGUGUUUGCAGUCAGAAAAGCUGGAACACAGAGCUUGUCUUUGUCAGAGGAACAUCCAAUAGUCAGACUUUGAAUAGGAGUUGUGAGAAAGAGGAAUGAAGUAUUUGGCAACGUAUGAUAUCUGGAUUUUUGUUCUUUAUUCAUGGGGUCCAGUUAGGUGGGACAUAAAACAAACCUCAUACAUUCUGACAUGGAAUGAUUUUGCUUGUAAUUUCAAAACCAAAGUGGUUUGAAUUACCUGCAUUGCCACAGUUAGCCACAUGUGCCUCCUCCUAACUCUGCUUGCAUUCCCUUUCCAGCCGCUCCCAUAAUCUCCCUGUUCAUCCAUGUCUGAGGAGGUGAAAAGGGGGAUUUCAGGAGAAGUUGUGGAAGAUCCGUGCUACAGGUGCAGAGAAAAACAAGCCAGCUCACACCCAAGGGCAGUGCAGAGACAGUCCUUGUGACCCAUGUGAGUUAGUCCCAGCACCAGAGGCAAGAUUCCUGCUUCAGCACCAUGCUGAGCAACCAGGCCAUAUCCUUCUCCAACUGCACCAGCAACUGUGCCUGACUCCACAGAACACUGUUAGUGUUAGGGCAGGAAUCUUUGCAGAGCACUAGGGGCACUUGUGGCCUCAGUCCCCUUGUCAGAAAACCCAGUGCUUUCAGCUGCAUUUUACUUGUGUGGGAAUUGUUUGAGCUCACUCCUGUUGCCACAGCUGCUUUAGG